GAGGGUAUAGCUCAGUGGUAGAAUGCAUGCUUAGUAUGUAUAAGGUCCUGGGUUCAAUCCCCAGUACCUCUG
rnacentral:tRNA from 1 species